CCUACGGGCGGCAGCAGUGGGGAAUAUUGGGCAAUGGACGCAAGCCUGAACCAGCAAAGCCGCGUGAAGGAAGAAGGCUUUCGGGUUGUAAACUUCUUUGAAAGGGGAAGAGCAGAAGACGGUACCCUGAAAACAAGCCACGGCUAACUACGUGCCAGCAGCCGCGGUAAUACGUAGGUGGCAAGCGUUGUCCGGAUUUACUGGGUGUAAAGGGCGUGUAGCCGGGAAGGCAAGUCAGAUGUGAAAUCUGGAGGCUCAACCUCAAAAUUGCAUUUGAAACUGGUUUUCUUGAGUACUGGAGAGGCAGACGGAAUUCCUGGUGUAGCGGUGAAAUGCGUAGAUAUAAGGAGGAACACCAGUGGCGAAGGCGGUCUGCUGGACAGCAACUGACGGUGAGGCGCGAAGGCGUGGGGAGCAAACAGGAUUAGAUACCCUUGUAGUC
rnacentral:rRNA from 1 species